rnacentral:lncRNA from 1 species
CCAGUUUCAUCUCUGUCCAAUAGCUUGGGUUGAGCAUGAGUUAAUGUGUGCUAUAUAAUCUUCCAGUAAACAUUUUUUUUUUCCAGAUUUUUCAUACUAUUUAAUGGAAACUUUAUCCAGUUCUGAAACAGAUUGACAAAAACCUGGAUGGAAAGCUAACUUAGCCUGACAUCUCUCCAUCCUACACUGUGAUGCCAGCUCUAAGGACACUCUGUUCAUUGUCCCUCACUGCGCUGCGGAUAUUUAUGGUUGUCUUUCAGCAGCUAAACGUGCAGCCCAGGGAGGUGGUCCACAGAGAGAAGUCCUUCAUUUUUUUGAAAUACAAGUAUUGACCAAAAAUCCUCCUUUUAUCGCAGGAACAGCAGCUUUGGAGGAAUGAACCUGAUGGAGAAGCGUGUGCUUGGAUUUGAGCUCCCUCACAGUUGCAGACUUUUGGCUUUGAGUCCCCUAAAUCUUUGCUGCUUUAAUCAGUGCACAGACUUGGGCAAAUAGAGGGUAAGAUUUAGAAGUUCUUAAUGAGAGUGUUCCUCAUGGGGAGAAAACACUGACUAGUGAUGAGCUUUUCAGUUUGGGCAGGGAGGGAAUUGCAAGAACCAUGAGCCAGUUGAAUUCAGGUGGGAAAUGUGGCACAGUGUUUGACAAUAAGUGCGAAAGAAGAUUAAUGACUGGAACAGACUGUCAAGAGAGGCGGAUUCCUCAUCUUUAGGUAUCUUCUGUUCUUGAUGGGCUGCCGCUG